ACCGAGAUUUGUUGUUUUGAAUA
rnacentral:snRNA from 1 species